rnacentral:lncRNA from 1 species
UCACAUUUCCAUCCCGUAUUGGGCAAGGGUGCUCCAUGUGCCCCCGAAUCCGGGACUGUCUGCGGACCUCCAUGUGGUCCUAAUCGCCCGACACUCCGGAGUACUCGACGACAAUCCUCUCCAUGUGAGGAUAUGGAUGGCUAUACCACCCCAAAUAACAGACCGUGAGCUAGAUCUAUCCUCUCCAAGUGAGGAUACCCUACGAACUAGGGCCAACAUCUCAAUCGAAACUCAUUUACAUCCUCUCCAUGUGAGGAUA